GGGGUUGUUUACAUUUUGAGUUGUAUGAUAAACGUAUGUUUGUAUGUGUUUCUUAAUGAAAACAGCUCAAUUUUAUGAUACUUUAUUAUACAGAAACAUGACACACAGUUUAUUUACACUUGAGUGUGUUUAAAUGACCUACAUUACAGCCAUGAAAAUGGUAUAUCCCAAUUUAAUCAUAGCAUUUACGUGGGAAUGCCGCAAAUACC
rnacentral:lncRNA from 1 species